rnacentral:rRNA from 1 species
UACAGAGGGUGCGAGCGUUAAUCGGAAUUACUGGGCGUAAAGCGUGCGUAGACGGUUAUGUAAGUCGGGUGUGAAAGCCCCGGGCUCAACCUGGGAAUUGCAUUCGAGACUGCAUAGCUAGGAUGCGGAAGAGGGAAGCGGAAUUCCGGUGAUAGCGGUGAAAUGCGUAGAUAGUCGGGAGGACAUCAGUGGCGAAGGCGGCCUUCU